rnacentral:rRNA from 1 species
CAUAAUCAUUAGUCUUUUAAUUUGAGACUGGAAUGAAAGAGUAAACCAGGAGAAUUUUUUUUUAUCUAAAAAAAUGAAUUUUACUUUUUAGUAAAAAGGCUAAAAUAUUUCUUUUAGACAAGAAGACCCUAUAAAACUUUAUAUUUUCUUCUAUUAAUUNNNGAGGGGAAAAGUAUUUUGCUGGGGCGGUAGGAAAAAGNANNUCUUUUCUUAAAAAGAAGAACGGACUUGUUUAAAUAACUAGAAUUUCUAAAAUAGAAAUAAGUUACUUUAGGGAUAACGACUUAAUUCACUUAGAAAGUUCUAAUUGACAAGUGAGUUUAUGACCUCGAUGUUGAAUUAAAAUUCCUUU